rnacentral:rRNA from 1 species
UGCGGAAUCUUAGAUAAUGGAGGGAACUCUGAUCUAGCGACGCCGCAUGCAGGAAGAAGGUCUUCGGAUUGUAAACUGCUGUGGUAAGGGAAAAAUGCUAUGUAGAGUGGAAAGCUACAUAGAGGGAUGGUACCUUACUAGAAAGCCCCGGCUAACUACGUGCCAGCAGCCGCGGUAAUACGUAGGGGGCGAGCGUUACCCGGAAUCACUGGGCGUAAAGGGAGCGUAGGUGGCCUAACAUGUCGACUGUGAAAACCCGGAGCUCAACUCCGGACUUGCAGUUGAAACUGGUAGGCUUGAGGACGGUAGAGGAAGACGGAACUGCCAGUGUAGGGGUAAAAUCCUUAGAUAUUGGCAGGAACGCCGGUGACGAAGGUGGUUUUCUGGGCCGGUUCUGACACUGAUGCUCGAAAGCCAGGGGAGCGAACGG